rnacentral:piRNA from 1 species
GUGUAAACGGAUAAUGGACAUGG